GUUUGCACUGUCAAUAUCAUAAUCCAGCUAUGAGAAACGUUCAAUUCAAGCUAUUCAUUUUAGCGAACUAGUGUUGGCGAAAUUGUUUAUGUUAUAAUUAUGAUAUGUUUAGCUGGAGGCUCUGCUCUCUGGUCACUUCACUCAAAAACCCUUCUUGCGUAGUUAUGUAAGUAAAAUGUAUAAUAAUAUAAGGAAUGUAUUAAUGUCGAAACUGUUUGGUAACAUAGAGAAAUAUUAAUAUUAUUUUUGUUUGAAAACUAAAGAAAAUACCAUUUACCGUUUGUUAUCUUGCAUCUCUUUUAAUUAUUUUUCAAUUAGUCUACAAAGAAUAUAGUGUGUAAAAAGAUUUUAUGAUACUUUAUGGAAAUUGAUUGAGAACUACUAAAAUCGUAUACUUUAAAAAUUACCUCUUUACGCAAUUUUUUUUUAUUAUUAUUAAUAUAAUUUUUUUAUUUUUGAAAACUUUUGUUUUUGCAUAAUUAAAAAAACCAAUCGUUCCAAGAUGUAAAAUUUCUGUUACUUGGUCACCAUUAAAAAACACUACUACCGCUUACACAAAAUACAAAAAAAAGAAAUUGAGAACAAUAUAACCGUUAUUAUCCUAAAUUUUCCCGUUUUUCCUAAGUACUUCACCAGUGUUUUCCGACAAUUAAGACGACAAAGAAAAUUAACUAAAUCAUUAUUUUUUUCAGAAAACAUUCCAAACUUGAAAAUCGAACCAAUAAUUCUGAUAAAAAAAAAAGUUAUUGACAGACAUACCAAAUUAGCGCACAUAGGAAAACCAAUGCCGACGUUUUUCGCUGCGCUCAGAAUCAAACACCGAAGCGCGUCUUCGUUCGUAUACUGUUGUUUUUAUGAACUUUCAAAAGAACACGACGGGAAUCGCGGAAAAUAAAUUCGGUCGGGACUACCGCCGGACGGAGGUUUCGCAUUUUUCACGAUAGACACCGCCGGAAAAAAUCGGAACACGUUGCAAUACUGUUCGACAAUAGCUCUUUUUUUCGCUUUUUCGCCACACGAUUCAUCCAAAAUGUCUGCAGCCCGAUCGCGAUCCCGACGUAGUUGUAG